GCUGGGCGCGGUGGUGCACGACUGUGAUCCCAGGGGCUGGGGAGGCUGAGGCAGGAGGAUCACCAGUUGGAGGCCAGCCUCAGCCACUUAGCAAGGCCCUGAGCAACUCAGCGAGACCCUGUCUCUC
rnacentral:sRNA from 1 species